rnacentral:rRNA from 1 species
UACGGGGGGGGUAAGCGUUGUUCGGAAUUACUGGGCGUAAAGGGCUCGUAGGCGGCCAACUAAGUCAGACGUGAAAUCCCUCAGCUUAACUGGGGAACUGCGUCUGAUACUGGAUGGCUUGGAUUUGGGAGAGGGAUGCGGAAUUCCAGGUGUAGCGGUGAAAUGCGUAGAUAUCUGGAGGAACACCUGCGGCGAAGGCGGGUUGCUGGGCUGACACUGACGCUGAUGUGCGAAAGCUAGGGGAGCGAACGGG